rnacentral:rRNA from 1 species
GUCUAUAUGAAGUUAUAUGAAGUCUGGCCUGCCCAUUGAUUUAUUAAAAGGCCGCGGUAUUUUGACUGUGCAAAGGUAGCAUAAUAAUUAGUUUUUUAAUUGGGAGCUUGUAUGAACGGUUGGACAAAGAAAAAUCUGUCUUUAACGCUUUUUUUGAAUUUUACAUUUAAAUGAAAAGGUUUAAAUGAAUUUAAGGGACGAUAAGACCCUAUAAAGCUUUAUAUUUUAUUUAUUUUUAUUAAAAGGAGAAAACGUUAAUUGAUAAAGAUAACAAUAAUAUUUUGUUGGGGUGACAAGGAUAUAAAUAAAAAAUUGUCUGGGGAGUAAACAAAUAAUAUUUGGUAAGGAAGUGAUCCUUUAUAAAGAUAGAAGUUUAAGUUACUUUAGGGAUAACAGCGUUAUUUUUUUUGAAAGUUCUUAUUGAAAAGAGAGUUUGCGACCUCGAUGUUGAAUUAAAGUUUUCCUUAUGGUGUAGAGGCUAUAUAGGUAAGUCUGUUCGACUUUUAAAAUUUU